GUCUGUUCCUUAUUUAAAUUCACACGGUAUAUGGGCAGCAGGUGUCAGUUAGCAUUUGCUGAGUAAGCAAGCAGCCCAGAGCUCAGCGGCAGCGACCACAUAUUGAGCUCAUUGUUCUGUGGGUGGUGCUUGGGGCUGGGCUCACGAGGCUUGAUGGGGCUCCCUCACGCAUGUGCGGGUGGAUGUGGAGUCAGCUGGGGUGGGCGGGCUGGCGAUGCCCUGAGUUAAGAUGGCUCAUCCCGCUCCACGUGGUCUGCCAUCCUCCAGCGGACUAGACCAAGCCUGUCCACGUGGCCGCUGGGCAGGAUCCCCGAGAGAUGCAAGGACUCAAGAGCUCGCAGGUCUAGGCUCAGAACCAGCAUGGCCUCACGUCUGCUGUGUCCUGAUGGUCAGAGCAGGUGACGAGGCCGAGGAAGGAGCAGCCUCCUGAUGGAGGAGCUUGAAAGUCACCUUUCAAAGGGCUGAAGGCAAGGAUGCAGAUAAUGGGGCUUUCUGCAAACUGUCUAACACCGAGUCUCCCAGGAUUUCUCCCCAAGGCUCUGACUGGGAGGUUACGGACAUCUGUCGUUUUGCCCACCUGGCAUCUGUUUCCUCCUCUGUCAGUUACUCUAUGGUUUAACUCUGAAUCCAGUCUUGCUGGAACUUUGGAUCAAAGACUCCGCCCACCCUGGCCGACAGGUGUGUGCGCAUCCCAGUAGACCAGGCCAGCGGCCCUCUGCCUGGGAUUUGAACCCUGAAUGGAAGGACUGGCAGUGACGCUGUGACUGCAGGAGCGCUCUCUCAUAGGCCGGCGUUUGGCUUCACUCCUGCUCGGUGCGUGUCCUCCUGGCGUGGGCGCUUUGGGGCCUGCCAGGGGACCCUCAGGACGGGGCCCUCAUUCUCUCAGCUGCUGGAAGCAUUGCUCGCUGGUGGCCACGGCUGUCUCAUCCUGAGAAUGGCCUGGGGUCCCCUCACCCAAGCUCAUGCACCCUCCCUGCGCAGCCUCCCUCGGGGUGGCUCUGACAGGCCAUCCUGUGGGAUCAAGUUCAACCUCUCCCUCUGCCAGUCCUGCCUCCCUCCCUCCCUCGUGGGUUUUGUUGCCUCGAGCACUGUCCGGGGAACUUCCUGCUGAAAACUCUCCACCGGAGAGACGGUUUUCUGGGAGCUCCACUUAAGACAUCGCGUAGCCCUUCAGCAGAUUUCGUUUUUGCCCUGGUGGGUCGGUCAGCUGCUGUUGCUGCAAUCCGAGGCCGUGAUGAGCUAUGUCGGUCAGGACUCUGUUCACUGCGCUAUUUCCUAAUUCUUUUUACUGUUCAUUGAGCACCUACCAGACCCCUCCAGGUGACCAGGCCUGGGAGUACCACUUUCCCCACCUGCAGUGGAGGCCACUAAACUCAGGGACCCGGGAUGAACUGUGAAAGGGGAGGAGCUGACGAGCAGAGUAGUUACGAAAAUCGACUUUGGAGCGAGGCUGCCGUGUCCGACUCUCGCCCCCCAUUUGCUGCCUCUGUCACCCGGGCACCUUGCUUACCGGCUCUGUGCCUCGGCUUCCUCCUGUGUAAAAUGAAGAUGAGACCACACCUUUCUCCCGGGGUUGCUGUGAGAAUCACGUGUGUCAAUGCAGGUCAAACGUUCCGGACGGUAGGCCCUCCGUAAGCGUUUGCUGUUACUCGUCGUGAUGGUAUCAAUACUGAUGCUUCUGAUCCAAAGCCUGGGCGUGCCGUGUCUACCUUCCCCACACGAGAAUCCUCCCUCCUGUCCCCCAGCCCCCCUCCUCCAGGGAUGCGGGUGAGUGCAAGGGCUGGGCGUCUCUGACGAGAGGGACAGCGCAGCCCUGCUGGCAGGCCUGCCUCGCCGCCUUUGCAUUUUCUCCGUUGCAGGUCUGACCUGCUGUCUCCCCGACUCCUGGUUUUGCUGUGAGUACCUGUCUUCCUGGAGCAGCCUGAGAGGCGCUCCUGGUGGGGCGUCCUGGCCUGAGAGGGGUGACAUCUCUUAAAGUAGAUUUAUGCGCCAUAGAUGCCCAGAGUAAACGGGCCACGGCACCCAAGGGGCGGGUUUAGUUACGAGGUCAGCUCUCGCCUCUCUCACCUGGAACGCUGCAGCGGCCUUCUCACCGGGAGGCUGUCUCCUUCCCCUCCCAGAACCUCCCCGCUGCUGACACCGCCCUUCCCUCUCCGGAGUGGUCUCAUUCUCACUCCUCUUCUCAAAACCCUCCAAAGGGGCCUCCUCGCCAGGACAAAUCCUCCUCUGAGUGACCGCCAGUGCUCUGAGGGAGCUGACCCUGGACUCCCUGGGGGCCUCCCCGUCUUGUGCCCCGAGAACACAAAGCAAACUGUGCAUGAUGCUCUCGCUUAGCUAUUGUACCUUUUAACGCUCACGGGAGCCAGGCAGGACAGAGGCACACGCCCGCGCUUUCCAAUGCGGCUAAGAGGGGAGCCAAUGUCACCCCAACACUCUGCCACUCCUGGGGCCAGAGUUUGAAUUAAAUUUGCUUAUGUGCAGCCUUUUAAACCAAUGAUUAAGAAGCCCUGGAGGAGUAAAACUAUAUGUUAUUUAUAUAAAAAGAAAGAUAAGCAUUUAUCCACAAUCCUUAAAUUAGUAGUCCAUUUACUCCGUCAUCUUCAAGACCUGGCGUUAACCCUGCACUAUGCUCAGGUUCCUGACCACUUGUCUGGUCUAACUUCUUUCAGCACCCCCUGCUCACUGUGCUUCAGCCACACUGAGCUCUUUGCUCUUCGCCAAACGGGCCAAGCGUCCUCCAGUUGUGGGACGUUUGUGUUAGCUCUUCCUCCAGCUGGAAGUGCUUGUCUAUAGACUUUUUUCAUGACUCAUUUUCUCACUUCAUUGAGAUCUUUGCAUCACAUUCAGUUUCUCUCUCUCCUGUUAUGCUUAUUCACAGCCUAACCACCCCCUGACAUAAGGCUAGAUAUUUAUUUGCUUAUUUAUUUGUUAUUUGUCAUCCUUACUCCACAGGGUUCUGCAACGGUAGGACCUGUAUCUCCAGAACCUAGAAUAGUGCCUGACGUGUAACAGACACGCAAUUAAUGCUUGUUGAAUGAAUGGAAGAACUGCCCCCAACACUCCACACCUCGACUACGAUCUGGUUGAGAGCAUAACAGUAAUGAAAACAUAUGGGGUCCUGCAGGACGUGGCUUGGUUACUAGCGGACAGUGGAAGACUGGGCGAAGUGUGGAGGCACAGCUGGCGGUGUUCAGCGCACAUUGCUUGCGGAGGGGGUCAGAUAGGAUCAUAGCCGGCGCUUCGAGGGGAGUGUGUCAGUUGUGGAGGUGAAUACCUCAUCUUUUUAUCUAAGUGCCUGGCAAGGAGUAGACACCCAACAAGUGCUUCAAGUCUGAGUGAAUCCCAGGAUUUUGUAGUCGCCCCAACCUGCCUGCAGCUGGUUCUGCUCAAGCUCUGGGAGUGAAGGUGGGUCAAUGAUCCUACAAGCUGUUUUUCCUAAGUAUGCAUCCUUUUGAUCCUGGACUUGGCGUGGCAGCAUGAGCAGUCUGAUUUCUGGUUCCUUUAUUGGGUAGAAACCUUGUAGCUCUCCGAGGGUGGCUCAGGCCCAGCCCUUGGUGUCUGGAAGCUGAGGACCCAUGACUGUUCAAAGGCCUUCUCUGUAGGAGUGGUUUCAGCAGGCUUGUUGGAGACGCU
ensembl:lncRNA